rnacentral:rRNA from 1 species
UACGAAGGUGGCUAGCGUUGUUCGGAUUUAUUGGGCGUAAAGGGUCCGCAGGCGGUUUGAUAAGUCAGGUGUGAAAUCCAACAGCUUAACUGUUGACACGCAUUUGAUACUGUUAGACUAGAGUAUGAGAGGGGUAAGAGGAAUUUCCAGUGUAGGGGUGAAAUCCGUAGAUAUUGGAAAGAACACCGGCCGCGAAGGCGUUUUACUGGCUCAUUACUGACGCUCAGGGACGAAAGCUAGGGGAGCAAACGGG